GCCAUGAUUCAUGAAGGGAGACACUAGUAUAAUUACUUACAAUAUAUAUAUAUAUUCUCUGCUUCACUCUCGUUUCACAUAUCAGUAAACUAUGUAGCUAGCUUGCUCUACCAUCAGCUCAACUGACCAAAAGUUAAGCUAAAAAUUUGACAUAAACUGAUUGAUCUUAAACUGAAUUAUAAGUGAUGUUACAAUUCACAAGAUUUAUCAAUGUUAUAGUUGUAACCUUAAGUAUUUUUAAGGAAUUGAUUGUAAUAGACUCGUAGUUUUGGCAAAAUAAAAUAAAAUAUAUAUAUGUGAUUCCUUAAAACCUAAUCAGUGAUAUUUUAACCGAGCAUUUACUGUAGUCUAUAGAUCUUAUAGGUUAACUAAUUCAUUUGACAUAUUAUUUUUAUAUUCACUAUUCUCUUAUUAUUAAACGAGAAACAAUCUUUAAAACUAGUAUUUUAUUUAUACUCAUGCCAUUUGCUCACGUAUAGUUUCCUCAUGUUUCCCCAACCUUCAAUCAUAACUACUCUUUCUACACUAAGGAGGUGUUAAUGGGGAUAUAUAUAGAAUUUGUUGAUUUUAAAAGUUAAGAGAUUUGUUGAAUUUGGAAAUAGUUGGAGAAAAAUUUGAGUGAUCAACUGAGGAUAGUAUUGGAGUUAAGGAAUAGUGACCAACGUGAAGAGGUUACUCCUUUUAAUUGGGUAUAUAUGCAUGAGGCUGAGUAAUUUUAGUGGUCUAUGAAUUUGUUGCUGUAGAUUAUCCAAAGAAGCUAAGAAGGAUGAAGCAGUUAGACAUGCUCUCUCAGUUCGUGCAGCUGUUAUAUCAGGAAAUUGUGUUCCGUUCUUCAGACUUUACAAGACUGCGCCAAACAAGAACAAGGGUGACAGGUGAGAGACAUAUUAGACAUGAAACCUGUUUUGAUAUGUUUGAGCAAUUGAAUAGAAUAUGCGAAGAAAUAAAAUGGAUAGAAUGAAAACGUUUUCAUGUUUUAUUUGCAGAUCUCUAUGUGGAGAAGAUGAGUCAGUGAGUCUUAUAUCUCGGAGUUGUCGUCCUACAAUCCCAAUUUCAUACUUAGCCCAAGUGUUGGGCUUUACUGGUGCUUCAGGCCAAGUACUGGUAUGGAAGUGUGUUCUGAAUGAAAAGGAAAGCAAUGGUAUGGAAGUGUGUUCUGAAUUGCUAAAACCCAUGGUGCUAGCCUCAUAUCUGACAGUAACGGAGAUAUGCUUCUUGAUACCAAGGCGUCAACAACGAGUAUCUUCAUACCAGAACCUGAAGAUGCAGUUGCUCAUGGAGAACGAUAUUUAGAUGUCAAUGAUUUUUUUACUCGUACAUGAUAAAGACAUAUUAAUGUUUGUGUGCACUCAAGUGGGGAAAAAGGAAAGCAAUAGUGCCAAAAUGAAGUUCAUAACAUCUUGUGAUCUAAAGGAGACCAACGAAGAUAAGUGAAGCCUCUCUCGCAUCAAUCAUCGCCUUUUGCCACAUCGUCUCAUGUAUGACACUUUAGGUUUAUAAUUACUUGAUAGAUGUACUAAACGUUCGAAAGAAGAGAACCAAAAUGUAUUUGUAAUUAGUUUUUUUUUUUGGUGAAUAUGAAGAUCCUUAUUCUUUUUUUU